AAAAAGUUUUAUUUUAGCUUAAAUAAUAAAUGUAUAAUUUAAUUACAUGUAAAUUUUAGUAUAAACAAUUAUUAUUUUUAAAAAAUAAUAUUUUUUUUUAUUAUUCGCAGUAUUUGAUUUUAAUUAUUAAGGAAACUUAGAUUUAGAAAUUUAUAAUCAAUAUUAACAUAAUUUGUGCCAGCAGUUGCGGUUAUACAAAUAAUAUAGUUUAUUAUUUUUAAUUUAUAAUUAAUUUUUAUUUAUUAAUAAAUAUAAAUUAUGAUUUAUUAAGUGAAAUUUUAAAUUACAGUAAUUUUUAUUAAAAUUUUUGAAGUUAUUAAAUUUUAUAAAAAACUAGGAUUAGAUACCCUAUUAUUAAAGUGUAAAAUAAUAAAAUUAAAUUAUUUAUAGUUAUGAUCUUAAAAGUUAAAAAAUUUGGCGGUAUUUUAAUCUAUUCAGAGGAACCUGUCCUAUAAUUGAUAUUCCACGAUUAAAAUUACUUAUUUUAUUAAUUUGUAUAUCAUCGUAGUUGAAUAUUUUAAUAGAAAAUAAAUAUUCUUAAUUUUUUUUUAAAAAUAAAUCAGAUCAAGGUGCAGUCUAUAAAUAAGAAGAGAUGGGUUACAGUAAAGAUAUUUUUGGAUUUUUUUUUGAAAAAAGAAAUAAAAUUGGAUUUGAUAGUAAUUAAAUUUAUUUUGGUUUAAUGAUUUAAGCUCUAAAAUAUGCACAUAUCGCCCGUCGCUCUCAUUUAAAUUGAGAUAAGUCGUAACAUAGUAAAUGUACUGGAAAGUGUAUUUAGGUAGAU
rnacentral:ncRNA from 1 species